AAUAAGAUAUUUUGCCGGUAAUUUUAAUUACUCGGGUUUCAAGUUAUUGAGUUCCGUUUUGAUAUUAAUUAAUAUUUCAUUUAAUUAUAAUUAUAAACUGUGGUUUAUAACUCUGGAUUUAUGAUUGAGUCGGGUUAGACUUGGGUCUCCCGACAUGUGGAUUUAGCUUGGUAGUUUUAAGAAACUCGGCUAACCCAUUAUUUGAGGAAUUUAUUUAAAUAUUAUUUAAAUAAUAUUUCGAAGUGGUUUUUAAGGUGUGAACUCAAUAGACUUGAAUUAUUUUACGGCAUUAUAUUUUAUUUGAUAAUUGUGUUUCUAUGUGUGAUUUUAUCUGUCUUAUUAUUUUGUGCUAGUCCUACGUGGUGUCUAGUAUUCUUAGAGUUAGGGGUUGGAGUGAUUUUAACUUAUGAUUUAUUUUUAGACUCUUCGACUACUCGCGCUCAGAAGUCGAACCAGGGUUAGCUGUUUGCCAAGAUUCACGUGGAUAAGCAAGCAGUUUAUGAUUUGAAAGCUGGUCCACUCCGAUUCUUUUGAUUCCUCGGAGGUUUUUAUGUUAUUUAAACUAGUUACUAUUUUCGAACUCUUAGACCGCAGUAGAAUUAGUUUAUAUAUUACAUUCGAUAUUACACUUUGGGAUUGUCGAAUUUGAUCGACUAUUUAUUAUUAGCAUAUUUACACUGGAAUAUUUUAUUAUUAUAUUUAAGGCAUGCUGUGGAAUA